rnacentral:rRNA from 1 species
UACGGGGGGGGCAAGCGUUGUUCGGAAUUACUGGGCGUAAAGGGCUCGUAGGUGGCCAACUAAGUCAGACGUGAAAUCCCUCGGCUUAACCGGGGAACUGCGUCUGAUACUGGAUGGCUUGAGAUUGGGAGAGGGAUGCGGAAUUCCAGGUGUAGCGGUGAAAUGACGUGAGAUAUCUGGAGGAACACCGGUGGCGAAGGCGGCAUCCUGGACCAACACUGACACUGAGGAGCGAAAGCCAGGGAGGCAAACGGG